CUCCAAGCCCCUGUGUCCAACCUGGCCUUGAACACUGCCAGGGAUGGGGCAGCCACAGCUUCUCUGGGCACCCUGUGCCAGCACCUCAGCACCCUCCCAGGGAAGAGCUUCUGCCUAAGAGCUCAUCUCAGUCUCCCCUCUGGCAGGUUUUAAUGUGUUGUUGAUUGGUUUUGUGGGUUGCUGUUUGGUUUUGACGUGUUGGUGGCUGGUUCUGGGGGUUGUUGAUUGGUUUCACAGGUUGUUGGCUGGUUUUAACAUGUUGUUGGUAAGUUUUAAUGGGUUGUGGUAGGUGUUCCAGGUUGUUGGUAGGUUUAAGAGGUUUCCCCUUUGCUGUUCUGCUCUAGAUGACAUCAUAAAACGCCAUCGAAAAGAGCAGACAGAUGCCAGCGCUGGGGGGCACGAGCGAAGGCCGCAGGUCAAGCCCAGGAACUCAGUGUACGGGUAUGGACGGCCCCGCUUUCGUGCCUGGAUGCAGAGGAAUUUGCAAGGACCUGCCCGGUUUAGAAGAGGGUUUGGACAACAACAGUUCAACCGGAGACAAUUCAGGAAUGCUAUGCCUGGUCCCAAGAGAACAGCAGCUGCUUCAUUGAAUGGAGUGAGCCCUUUAAAUCGUCAGGCAUCGGCUCCAGAGGGUAACACGAAGAAUGAUGCUUACUCCAAGAGCAGCAGCAGCAGCAUUGUGCAGGCAGAGGGACGGCGACGGCCACCCCCAGGCCCCAGGAGGUUCAGAGCAGCUGCCGCCAGCGCUCAGGCUGCAGGGAGAAGACCUUUCCGGCUGAACAGGGCACCAGCCUUCCAGCAGAAGCGGAUGCAGCAGCGGUUUCUCAAAGCCAAAUUUCAGAGAGGGCAGAUGGAGGCUGAUGGCAACAGGAAACUGCCACGGAUGAGAAGGUGGCAAGUGAAACCUAGCCCUGGAGCAGUUCUGACGGUGUCUGUGGCCAAUCCUCAGGCAGGCCAGGCUGGCCCGCCCGGAUCCAAGCGCCCGUUCCUGCGCAGCCGGAGGCCGCCGCCACGCGCAGCCAAGCCCCAGCCCAAGGGGGUGCUGCUGAGGUUCAACUUCCGCGCCAUGGCCAACCAGACCAGCCUGACGCUGGAUGAGAGGUUCUCUGGUCUGAGGAAUAAGAGGCGCUUUACAGCAGCCAGGAGCGCCGGCCGGACAGUCACCAUGCCCUAGCACCGCUCCUCAGGGACUGCCCUCACAGUCCAGGCCCUGCAAUGGGCAGCUCAAUAAAGCUCAAUAGAUUUAUUUCCUCCA
rnacentral:lncRNA from 14 species